rnacentral:rRNA from 1 species
GUCUAUGGCUGUACCACACUGAAUUCGCCUGAUCUUGUCUGAUCUUGGAAGCUAAGCGGAUUUGGAUGGGCUAGUACUUGGAUGGAAGACAGAUCAGUAGGGUAACUAUAGUUU